UACGUAGGGUGCAAGCGUUGUCCGGAAUUAUUGGGCGUAAAGAGCUCGUAGGCGGUCUGUCGCGUCGGAUGUGAAAUCCCAGGGCUCAACCCUGGGCCUGCAUUCGAUACGGGCAGACUAGAGUUCGGUAGGGGAGACUGGAAUUCCUGGUGUAGCGGUGAAAUGCGCAGAUAUCAGGAGGAACACCGGUGGCGAAGGCGGGUCUCUGGGCCGAAACUGACGCUGAGGAGCGAAAGCGUGGGGAGCAAACAGG
rnacentral:rRNA from 1 species